rnacentral:rRNA from 1 species
GACGAACGCUGGCGGCGUGCCUAAUACAUGCAAGUUGAGCGCUGAAGGUUGGUACUUGUACCAACUGGAUGAGCAGCGAACGGGUGAGUAACGCGUGGGGAAUCUGCCUUUGAGCGGGGGACAACAUUUGGAAACGAAUGCUAAUACCGCAUAAAAACUUUAAACACAAGUUUUAAGUUUGAAAGAUGCAAUUGCAUCACUCAAAGAUGAUCCCGCGUUGUAUUAGCUAGUUGGUGAGGUAAAGGCUCACCAAGGCGAUGAUACAUAGCCGACCUGAGUGGGUGGUCGGCCAGCUUGGGACUGAGACACGGCCCAAACUCCUACGAGAGGCAGCAGUAGGGAAUCUUCGGAAAUGGACGAAAGUCUGACCGAGCAACGCCGCGUGAGUGAAGAAGGUUUUCGGAUCGUAAAACUCUGUUGGUAGAGAAGAACGUUGGUGAGAGUGGAAAGCUCAUCAAGUGACGGUAACUACCCAGAAAGGGACGGCUAACUACGUG